rnacentral:rRNA from 1 species
UCCGGAUAACGCACAUAUGCUGGAAUGCUUUAUGCGUGAACUGGAUUCGUCUUGCCCAAAGGAUGGGUCUGCGGCCCUAUCAGGUAAUAGUGGGUGUAAUUGUACCUAUUAGCCUACGACGGGUACGGGUUGUGAGAGCAAGAGCCCGAAGAUGGAUUCUGAGACAUGAAUCCAGGCCCUACGGGGCGCAGCAGGCGCGAAAAACUUUACAAUGCGGGAAACCGUGAUAAGGGGACACCGAGUGCCAGCAUCAUAUGCUGGCUGUCCAGGUGUGCAAAAUACACCUGUUAGCAAGGGCCGGGCAAGACCGGUGCCAGCCGCCGCGGUAACACCGGCGGCCCGAGUGGUGAUCGUGAUUAUUGGGUCUAAAGGGUCCGUAGCCGGUUUGGUCAGUCCUCCGGGAAAUCUGACAGCUUAACUGUUAGGCUUUCGGGGGAUACUGCCAGACUUGGAACCGGGAGAGGUAAGAGGUACUACAGGGGUAGGAGUGAAAUCUUGUAAUCCCUGUGGGACCACCUGUGGCGAAGGCGUCUUACCAGAACGGGUUCGACGGUGAGGGACGAAAGCUGGGGGCACGAACCGGAUUAGAUACCCGGGUAGUCCCAGCCGUAAACGAUGCUCGCUAGGUGUCAGGCAUGGCGCGACCGUGUCUGGUGCCGCAGGGAAGCCGUGAAGCGAGCCACCUGGGAAGUACGGCCGCAAGGCUGAAACUUAAAGGAAUUGGCGGGGGAGCACAA